UACGGAGGGUGCAAGCGUUAAUCGGAAUUACUGGGCGUAAAGGGUGCGUAGGUGGUUUAAUAAGUUAGCUGUGAAAUUCCUGGGCUCAACCUAGGGUGGUCAGCUAAGACUGUUAGACUUGAGUAUAGGAGAGGGUAGUGGAAUUUCCGGUGUAGCGGUGAAAUGCGUAGAGAUCGGAAGGAACACCAGUGGCGAAGGCGACUUCCUGGCCUGUUCUUGACGCUGAGGCGCGAAAGCUAGGGUAGCAAACGGG
rnacentral:rRNA from 1 species